rnacentral:rRNA from 1 species
AGCGAACGCUGGCGGCAGGCCUAACACAUGCAAGUCGAACGAACCUUUCGGGGUUAGUGGCGGACGGGUGAGUAACACGUGGGAACGUGCCUUUAGGUUCGGAAUAACUCAGGGAAACUUGUGCUAAUACCGAAUGUGCCCCUCGGGGGAAAGAUUUAUCGCCUUUAGAGCGGCCCGCGUCUGAUUAGCUAGUUGGUUGAGGUAAUGGCUCACCAAGGCGACGAUCAGUAGCUGGUCUGAGAGGAUGAUCAGCCACAUUGGGACUGAGACACGGCCCAAACUCCUACGGGAGGCAGCAGUGGGGAAUCUUGCGCAAUGGGCGAAAGCCUGACGCAGCCAUGCCGCGUGAAUGAUGAAGGUCUUAGGAUUGUAAAAUUCUUUCACCGGGGACGAUAAUGACGGUACCCGGAGAAGAAGCCCCGGCUAACUUCGUG